AGCUACGAUCUCCAUAGGCCCAACACCCUAAGGCUCGUCUGGGUCCUUGUUCCGAGUCUUGUUCAGAAUCCUCCUCUGGUUCCUCCUCAUACCUUAGUCACUAAAUGUGUUGUGGAUGUUCAUCCCGGCUUGUGUGUGGGUAGGAAGCAAAUGACCCCUAGCCGGUGAAGAAACCGCCUAAAUUUCGGAAGAAUAACAUUCCGGCAUCCGGUGACGAAAAGGUACCGGUGGUAUGGUAAAACUCGGGUUCUUGGCUUCCUCCAUUAAACUCGAAAACUUUUUCUCACUUGCUUUGCUUGGACUCAUAUUAUGCUUGUUCUCAAGCCGCACAGCGAACAACUUUUU
rnacentral:lncRNA from 1 species